GACGAAUGCUGGCUGCGUGCUUAACACAUGCAAGUCGAACGGUGAAGGAGGGCUUGCCCUCCGGAUCAGUGGCGAACGGGUGAGUAACACGUGGGCAACCUGCCCCUCACUCUGGGAUAACGCCGGGAAACCGGCGCUAAUACCGGAUACGACCAGGCGCGACAUCUCGCCUGGUGGAAAGAACUUCGGUGAGGGAUGGGCCCGCGGCCUAUCAGCUAGUUGGUGGGGUAACGGCCCACCAAGGCGACGACGGGUAGCCGGCAUGAGAGGGCGACCGGCCACACUGGGACUGAGACACGGCCCAGACUCCUACGGGAGGCAGCAGUGGGGAAUAUUGCGCAAUGGGCGAAAGCCUGACGCAGCGACGCAGCGUGAGGGACGAAGGCCUUCGGGUUGUAAACCUCUUUCAGCGGGGACGAAGCGAAAGUGACGGUACCCGCAGAAGAAGCACCGGCUAACUACGUGCCAGCCGCCGCAGUAAAAC
rnacentral:rRNA from 1 species